rnacentral:rRNA from 1 species
UACAGAGGGUGCGAGCGUUAAUCGGAAUUACUGGGCGUAAAGCGUGCGUAGAUGGUUCAUUAAGUCGGAUGUGAAAGCCCCGGGCUCAACCUGGGAACUGCAUCCGAUACUGGUGGACUAGAGUACUGUAGGGGCAGGCGGAAUUCCGGGUGUAGCGGUGGAAUGCGUAGAGAUCCGGAGGAAGACCGGUGGCGAAGGCGGCCUGCUGGGCAGUUACUGACACUGAGGCGCGACAGCGUGGGGAGCAAACAGG